GAGGCAGGAGGAUCUUUGUGAGUUCGAGGCCAGCUUGGUCAACAAAGUGAAUUCCAGGCCAGCUGGGGGCUACAGGGAGACCCUGUCUCAAAAAG
rnacentral:miRNA from 1 species